rnacentral:rRNA from 1 species
GAUGAACGCUCGCGGUAGGCUUAAUACAUGCAAGUCGAGGGGCUGCACAAGGUACCUUGCUAUCUGGGCGGCGACAGACUCACGGGUGCAUGACGCGUAUGCAACUUGCCCUAUACAGGAGGAGAAGCGGUCGAAAGACGGACAAAUGCUCCGAUUGCUCACAACUUCGCAUCCAGUGGCGAGGAAAGAUAAACGGUACAGUUGAGGCAUGCGUCCCAUUAGCUUGUGGGUGAGGUAACGGCGCACUAAGGCAACGAUGGGUAGGGUAACUGGGAGGUUCGUCCCCCGCACUGGUACUGGGACACGGACCAGACUCCUGCGGGCGGCAGCAGUGCGGAAUAUUGGGCAGUGGGCGCGAGCCUGAACCAGCCAAGUCGCGUGAAGGAUGACUGGCUUGUGGAUCGUAAUCUUCUUUUAUGCGGGAAUAACAAGAGUCACGUGUGACUCCCUGACUGUACCGAAUGAAUAAGCAUCGGCUAACUCCGUG